rnacentral:misc_RNA from 1 species
CCGAGUUUACAACUCCCAAACCCCUGUGAACAUACCUAUACGUUGCCUCGGCGGAUCAGCCCGCGCCCCGUAAAACGGGACGGCCCGCCAGAGGACCCCUAAACUCUGUUUCUUAGUGGAACUUCUGAGUAAAACCAUAAAUAAAUCA